rnacentral:lncRNA from 10 species
AAUCAUGGAUGUGAUUUUAUGUAAGUAAUAUGUGAGAUACAGAUAAGCUGAUUCUAAAACUUACAAGAAUGGCAAAGAAACAAGAAGAGCUUAAACUGUGAAGACUGAAGCCUUAGGCUAUGGCAGAAGUUGGGCGCCUGAAGUACACGUGGAAAUAUGCCAACUGAACAUUGGACUACCACGUCAAGGGUCUCCUACCCCUGGG